UGGUGGUGGUUUUUUUAAGUUGCAUAUGUUUUGUUGACUAAGCUGUGAAUAUAAAGGUGAAAAUCGUUUAUGACUGCACUGCAGCCCUCCCAGAGGGUCACUAAGUACUUAAAAGUCUGAUGGACAAGAGGAAGUUCAAAAAGGCAGUUUGCAUUACUGAAAAAACUUAUUUCCAAUAUCUAUUUACAGGGAACAAAAGACAAUUAUUUUCAUGCAGCUGUAUAUUUGUUUUUAAAAAUCAAGCUAAUACAAGAGUUAAUUGUAAAACUGGGUGGUUUUAACUUCAAAUUUAUUUGAAAUAAAAGUGACAACACUGCCUAAUGAUGAGUAUGUAACAGUUCUGAAAUAAAACUAUCUGCAUUCUUUUUAUAUGACUGUGGCUUGUAUCCAGAGUUCUGUGAGCAAAACUCUUCUCGUAGGACUUCUCCCAGGAGGAAGUGCAGGGAGGUGACGUUUACUGAUUCAUAUUUCCCCCUGCAGUGCUCUGAAAAGCUGCUCCAGCAGGGCUGGAGAGCCUCUUCCAGGAAUAACUUGGCUGAAGGGAUAAAAAUUGAAACCCAAAUCUGAUUCCAGACUUCUCAAGAAGUGUAUUGUGACAUAGACUGUGUAAUUAACAAACAUUGUAUUAGUGACUCUAGUCAAUAACUGGUUUCUUAAAAUUACAGGAAUUACUUUAAUAAAGGAAAAGGCCACACAAAGUUAAGACUUGCAGUGCACUGGUGAUGCCUUCAACUCCUUUUUAGCCCAGCUGUGCCAUUACCUGCCCCACUCCUGAUAUCAUACGUUUGUGUAGGGCAAAUAGACAUGGCUUAGCCAAAUGGGGAGGUCUGAUGGACUUUAUUAGGAGCUCACAAUUUCCUUCUGUAAACAAUCAUAAGAACAUGAGAAGAGCCUGCUGGAUUAGGCCAAUGGCCCAUCUAGUCCAGCAGGGAUUUGAACUCUAACCACUACACCACACUGCUGCUUGGAUGCCUGUGGGAAGCCCACAAUCAGGACAUAAGUGCAACAGCACUGCUUGCCUGUGAUUUCCAGCAACUGGUACAGUAUUCAGACUCUUACUGCCUGACAGUACAGAUGGGACAUCACCAUUCUGGCUAGCAGCUGAUGAUAACCUCCUCCUCCUCUUUGAAGCUAUCCAAGUUGGUGAUCAUCACUGUGGAAGUGAGGUCCAUGGCAUGAAUAAGUACUUUCCUCUGUCCUGAAUCUUCCAACAUGCAGCUUUAUUAGAUAUCCGUGAGUUCUAGUGUUGUUAAAAAAAAAUUUCUCUAUCCACUUUCUACAUGCCGUGCAUAAUUUUAUAAAUUUCUAUCAUGUGACUUGCCUUUUCUCAAGUUCUGAAUGCUGCAACCUUUCCUAUUAGGGGAGUUGCUCCAUCCCCUUCAUCAUUUUGGUUGAAUUAUCUUCCUAUGGAUUGAUGGGGGGAAAAACAACAGAUUCCCUGCUCCCAUUUGCCUCUUGAGCCUGGGUCAAGCAUGUGUGUUUGGCGGUCAUAACUGCUAUGAUGGUUCUGGUGGCAUCACCUUUGCCUAGAUGUGCUGACUGCAGGAUGGUUUUAAAAGAUAGUAAAGAGUUCUAUCAUCUUCCACCCUGACUUCUGCAAGGCUAGUAACUUUCCCCCUCUCUCCAGCCCCUGCCGGAUACCCCUAUUUAGACGUUUACCAACAAAUGUGGGUGCGGGUGGCGCUGUGGUCUAAACCACUGAGCCUCUUGGGCUUGCCAAUCAGAAGGUCAGUGGUUCGAAUCCCCAUGAUGGAGUGAGCGCCCGUUGCUCUGUGCCAGCUUCUGCCAACUUAGCUGUUCAAAAGCACACCAGUGCAAUUGGUGGGAAGGUAAAUGGCAUUUCCAUGCGCUCUGGCACUUGUCAUGGUGUCCCGUUGCACCAGAAGCAGUUUAGUCAUGCUGGCCAAAUGACCCAGAAAGCUAGCUGUGGAUGAACGCCAGCUUCCUUGGCCUGAAAGGGAGAUGAGCGCCGCAACCCCAUAGUUGCCUUUGACUGGACUUAACCAUCAUGGGGCCCUUUACCUUACUUUUUUACCUUUUACCAAUAAAGUCAAGUUCUACUUGAAUUUUUUUGGGGGUGGGGAAAAACAAAUAAUAAGCGUUCAGCUUUCAGAAAACAAGUGUUAGCUGAUUAGGCAUUUUAGCUAUGCAGUGUUGAAUGUUAUCUGUAACAUUGUUCUUGCCUGUUUAUCCUUUGUUAUUGUUUUUAUUUAAACCACUCCAUGAACCAAGAACUUGCACAUUGACCACUUACAAUGAACCAUGUUACAGAUAUUACAGCAAAUAUAUACUAUUUUUAUGGUGCCCAUGUGA